rnacentral:lncRNA from 1 species
GGCUUUCCUAAGCGGCAAAGCCAAGGCCUUGGGCCAGAGGGCCGCAGCACUACCUCUCACCUGCAGUGGGAUCUGUCUCAACUCCCACUCCGUCUCCAGGGCCAAGGUCUGGAGGGACCGUGAGCUCGGAUCAGGACACACCAGCACAGCCUCAUCCACCACACCACAGGCUCCGGUGAGACUCUGAAGCCAGGGCGUUGAAACCCUGACCUACAGGAAAGAUAGCCUAGUGAGAGAGGUUCGUGAGAACUUUUACAUUUCCCUCUCGGCUCAUCAGCAAUGUCACCACCAAUCUCACGGGGGGCUAAGAUCAAAGGUUCUUCAUGGCUGGCUCUAAAGGACUUCUUCCCAUCCCUCCCAACCUCUCAAGAGCUCCAAAGUUGGAGAAAAUCAGGAUUUUGUUUCUGGUCACUGGAAAAACAUACCCAGUCGUCUUUAAGACCUG